AGGAGGCUAAUAAUGAAGGAGUCAGUGAAGGAGGCCAAUGCCAUGAGGGUUAUCUCACAGCCCCAGAUGCUGGAUAAGUUGAAGGAGGCAGAAUUGCUUUUGGAUGACAUUCAGAAAGGCCUUGAAUGAUUAUUUGGAGAAGAAAAGAGUAUUCUUUCCAAGGUUUUUCUUUCGACGCAACAGUGAGCUCUUAGAAAUCCUUUCUGAGACAAAGGAUCCACUCCGCGCCUAACCACACCUAAAGAAAUGCUUUGAAGGAAUUGCCAAGCUCACUUUUAAUCAUGAGAAAGAAAUUACCCACAUGGAGUCAGCAGAAAAUGAAAAAGUAGAGCUCGUGCUGCGAAUAAUUCCAGCAAGUGCCAAGGGGCUAGUUGAGAAAUGGCUUCAUGAGGUGAAUAUCUUUAGCUCUUACUUAGGGUUUAGUUACUGUAUAAUCAUUUUCUCUUUUAGGAGCAAUGAAUAUCAUAAGCAUAUUUCCUAACUAAACAGCUCUCUGAGCAUUUGUCAAGAUGGUGACAGAUUGAAUAUCAGUCUUAUUGUUGUUAUUUAUUACAACUAAUUUAACAUGUGCAAACAUGCAACAAUUAAUUUUAUAAAAGGCUCUCAGGAUGUGAGUCUUAACAGAAGUGCGUGUGUCUGUCUGACAGCAUAUAUGUAAAUAUAUGUAUGAGUCUCUGUACAUGUAUUUUAUUAUUUAUCUCUGUAAUGUUUGUGGCUUAGAAGAAUUGGGGGGUUUUUUAUUCAGCUCAAAAGUAUGAGAUGAAAUAUUUUGUUGUUUUGGUUUCUGCACUAUCCCCCCACUCCCCAAAAAGAUGCCCCCAUCUUAAUUUUCUUAAUCUUCAACCCAUUUUAAGCAAAGGACAAAUACAGAAUUUAACUGAUAACCUUUCCCAUUGGGGCCUAUGAUCCCAGUUGAUCAGUUUUAGUCUGAAAUUAGUUUGAUAACCUCUUCGUUUGCUUUACCAAGCCUUCUUCUGCCAAAUUAUGAGAACGGACCCUUCUUCUGAUAUUUGUUUCUAGGUCAAAAGUCAUUUCCCAUCCAUUUCUUGCUUGCUUGCUUUUCAGAUAGGAUCAGCCCAGGUAUGCAGCUUUCCCUUCUCUAGUUACUGCCGGCACUGAUUUCACCCCAUUGUAUCACUCCCUAUACCUCUAGUUUCUCUCGUGCUUCCAGGCGGUCAGCCAACAAGGGGGUACAGCAGGACAAUGCAAUAUAGUAGAAAGGCAGGGGGAAGGAAGGAAAUAAAACCUUUCUAUCCAAAGCUGAUUCUGUUGAAAAGGAAAAUGGGCAAAGAAGCGAAGAGUGAACUUUGUUACUUUUGUUAUGUGCUGAGUUUCUGCUGGCUGGGUGAGCAAAACAAAGCAGCUCAAGUCCUCUCAUGAAUCCAUGUUUCUCACAUAAAUGAGCCCCACAAGAUCACCAUGCCAACUUCAAACUAAUCUUUUUUUUUUAAAGCAAAUGCACACAGUUUAAACCAAUUCAUCGCAGGGCCUCAAGCUGGGGCUGGGGUAGCAGGUAGGACAGAACUGACCCAAAGUACAAAUACUGCCUGCCCUGCUCUCCACCAAAAAUUAAAAAGCAAUACUUUUGUGCUCAUUUUCAACCCAUCUUAGAAAAAAACACUGGAGCUAGAGAGCUGUGGUAGGUGAGUUGCAAAUACACAGGUCUGAGCAGCCCAGGAGAGGCUGAACUCUCACUGUGCUAAACAAGCAGCGUGUGUUUUAGUUCUGGCUGUCUCCCACAAACGAGGGAGGAAUGGGGAGGUGAGCAGCUGUGUUUAUUUUAAUACAUCUCAUUUAACCCCCACCUAAAAACAAAUUGGAAGGUUUGGGAGUGCAUUAAUCUGGACCCAAUUAGCAUCUCUUUUUCCCUCAAAAGUGCAACCUGAGAUUAAUGAAUAUAAACUAGAGUUUCAUAUGCAGUCUUUAAAUCAUUUGCAUGUUUUAUGCAUGAUAAUUGAAUUUAUUUAUGCACUUCCUUUCAUUUAAUGAUUUCUUGCUCUUUCCUAUGCUAUUCACAUUGUACUAUGCAAGAAAUAGGCCUUGAUAGGGAAGCAAGAACAGGAGGGUAUAAAUAGAAUGGAGUUAAUUGUUAAUGCUAAUUUGAACUAUAAAUUAAUAGUAAUAUAUGUUCUACUUUAACUGGAUUAACGUAACAUUUUAAAGUUAAUGUAUAGAUACCUAGCUUUGCAAAAACUUUGGAUAUUGCUUAGUAUGCUUGUAUGUAUACAAGCAAAAUUAUUUUCAAAAGGCCAUUGAAGACCAUUAAAUUAUUGUAGUGACUUUUCAAUGACCCUAGAGACUUGUGUUUCAACUUGGCCAAUUAGUAGUAGUAAUAGUAGUAAUAAGAAGAGGAAUAGUAAUUGCAUUAAUAAAUAGCUGUAUUCAGCCCAGGAUUUAGAGUAUUAUAGUCUGGAUUAGAAAAGAAGAGUACGUUAUAAUUUGUCUUAUCUAGGAUUUGAUCAGUAGAAAUAUGAGCAUUGGAUUCAUAGUAAAUUUAUUGUAGACCAGGAAUAUAUGAGUUCUAGAGAAUAGAGAGCUGUACUACUGGCCCUGUGUUUGUGCCUGUUAAGUGUUAUAAGGGGAAUUUUGGUCUUUCCCACCUCCAAUUAAGUUCAGAUGUCUUAAGGAUUCCAGGGUGUUGGCAUCUGGAUAUUUUAUACUAAAAAGUCCAUUUUUGAAGUGGUCAUGCUAGGAAGCUCCUAUGGGAAAGAGUUUUUAAUAGGUUUUUGGUGGUGAACCUUAAAGUUUUAUUCUGCACCAGUUUCUCUCUUGUCUCUUGUCUUUCCUUAUGUGUUUAAAGCUGUCUGUGGGAGUGACAUUUUCUGUGGUGUCUUGUCUUUUUCAGUGAAUUAAAUGGUUGUGUGUUGUGACUGUUUCCUGAUCCUUGUAGAUAGGAAUGUGUUUAAAGGCUAAAGCUCUGUUAAUUUGUGAUGUAACAAUUCCAGUGUGUUUCUUGUCAUUGAAAUGUAGUUUAAAAUGUUCAGUAAUGUGGCAUGAAAUUAUUGGUUAGUUUUGAAAUGGUGGUGAAAUCAUGUGAAGAAAAUAAGUAUUGCAUCUGAUCAAGAUAAAUUCACUCUAGUGUUUUAUGGCUUUUUAUUCCUAUGUGAUAGUAAUAAAGUCUCAUGUAGGGAUGGAAGCCAUGAAAUACAUUGUGAAAAAUCAUCAACUAAGAUGUGGCCAUCAGAAUAGAAAAUGUUAUAGUUGUAGAGUGAUUGAAAAUUAUUGGAAGAUGAUUUAGCAUGUUGCCAUGUUGACUACCAUGUUUUUCCAUUUUGUUUCUUCAUCCUUCACCCAUAUAUCUUGUCAAAAAAGGAAAUUAGUUUUAUAAUGAGCUGAUUCAUCUUUAUAUCAGUGUUCACUAUUUAAAUUCUUUAUACAUUUCAUUUUCUGCUGAAGAUGACACUGUACAUGAAACACUGAACUAAUAAUUUAAUACAGUAAAAAAAAAAGCCAAAAAAACCUAACAAGCCUACGAAUGUCUGAAUUCACGUCUAAAUUUAGAAUGAGACAAAGUGAGUUGCUAUCUUACCAAAUGGUCCAGGUUUUUUACUCCCAUACUUAAGAAAGACCUGAAUAAACUAGAGAGUAAACUGUUUUUUCUAUUUGUCAAAUUGCAUGCUCUUCUAGUCUGGAAAAAAAGACAAAGGAUUCUAGUUCGGAGACAGUAGAAAAAACACUUAUGAGAGCGAUCCUGACAGGGCUACCAUCCCACGUGUUGCUUUACUAUACAAACUUUGUUAGCCUUUAUAUAUCUUUCUGUCUUGGGUAUCAUUUUGUUUAUGGGGCAAUUCUGGGAAUGUUAUGUAAAAGAGAUCUUUUUACAAACUUCUGUAUUCUUUCUCUAAACCACACAUUAAUAAAGCAUUUUUUGGCA